rnacentral:rRNA from 1 species
ACCACUUUGUGAUUCAUGACUGGGGUGAAGUCGUAACAAGGUAACCGUAGGGGAACCUGCGGUUGGAUCACCUCCUUACCAAGAAGAU